AUGAAAUUCACCUUCUCAUAUUUUACUGAAAUAAAGUAAAAACUAGAUUCUUAUUUUAAAAAUUUAUCCUUGAUAAAUAUUUAUAAAAAUUAUUUAGAUUUUUGAAAUCACAAAUUUAGAACUAUUAAACACCAGUACAAUUUUUUAUAUGAAAUCUUCAGAACAUUCUUCUAAACUUGACAUUCGCCAAAGUCUAACUCUGUUUCUUUUAUUUGUGACUCGCCAUCUUUACUUUUUAUCGUCUGCGAAAUUUUAAUUUUACAAUAUAGAACUGUACAGAUGUUCUUCACUGGAUAGAUUUUGUACUAAAUAUUCAAAUACAGACUGCAAAUGCUUUACUAAUAUAUUAUAUUUCUCUCUCUUGGAAUCCCAGCUUAUUACAAAAUAAAUAUCAUCAAGGUAUUCUUUGCAAUAAAACAAUUUAUUCCAACAUAUCAAUGUUAAUCAGUAGCUAACACAAUAAUUCGGACACUCGAAUGUUUUUUCGAGAUGUUUUGAAAAACAACAUUUCAUGUUAUAUAUUUCUGUUUGAAGUAAAAAUACAUUACAAGAAUUAUCGUCUGCCUUGGAAAUUAUUACUUAGUAAAAUAUAUUAACAGUUUUAAAUCUGAAGUUAACAUGGCAAGACACUGUAAAUCAAUGGCAAGUUCUGUUCGAAAUUUAGUUCUUCAUGAUUUUAAAUAUGAUAAAAUUAUUCAACAUAUUUACGACGAUUCAAAAUAUUUAUGUUUUAAAAAAUAUUUAUGUCGUACUAAAACGAUGGGAAUUCGGUUAAAAAUGAAGUGCGGCGCUAGGACUACAUUCCAAGCUAACACGAAGGAAUCAGAGAUUUAUUCUACGAAAUAUCAAACAAAAUCCACUAGAAGCGGAUUCAGAAGAACAAUUUGCAAUAAAAGUUAACUCUGAAACUAUAAAAAAGUCAUUAGAACACAUGGAUAGAAUGGGCGAUGAUAAAAAAUGAGCUCCUUCGUCGACAAGAAGACAACGAAAAUACGCAUGACAUUCGUAAAAAUCCAUGCAACUGAUUCGGCUGGCUCAAUUACCUUGUAAAAGACGCAGGAACUCCUCAUAUGAAUGAGCCUUGACAGUGAUUUUCAACAGGGACAUAGGAGGAACGAGAAGAAGGGAGAACAAAGAACCCGGAUUUCGAAAGAACACAUCAGCAGUAGAUAUAGCAGAAGCAGUAUAAUGAGCUGGAAUGAAUUCUGUCGUAGAAUGGAGUGUACCCUCAAUUUUGGGACUCACUGUAUAUUUCGAGCAUAUAAAGUUUAGAAAGAAAUUAAGAAUGUAUCUUUUCUUUACCGAAGAAGUUGAUUUUUGUUUUUCUGACGCCAAAUUUAA